UUUCACUUGACCUCGACCUCAUUUAAUGGAUCAAUGAACAAGGUUAAGUUUUGGUGGUCAAGUCCAUAUCUCAGAUACUAUAAGCAAUAGGUCUAGUAUAUUCGGUGUAUGGAAGGACUGUAAGGUGUACAUGUCCAACUGGCAGGUGUCAUCUGACCUUGACCUCAUUUUCAUGGUUCAGUGGUUAUAGUUAAGUUUUUGUGUUUUGGUCUGUUUUUCUUAUACUAUAUGCAAUAGUUCAACUAUAUUUGGUGUAUGGAAAUAUUUUAUGAUCUAUUUGGCAGUCACACAGGUUUUAUUUGACCUUGACCUCAUUUUCAAGGUUCAUUGCUCAGUGUUAAGUUUUUGUGUUUUGGUCUGUUUUUCUAAAACUAUAAGCAAUAGGUCAACUAUAUUUGUUGUAUGGAAGAAUUGUUAGCUGUACAUGCCUGCCUAGCAUGGUUCAUCUGACCUUGACCUCAUUUUCAU